rnacentral:lncRNA from 13 species
UUGCCAUGGAGCUCACUUGGGCUGUCCUUCACUGGAGGAUUUGUAAAUGAGAGAGAGAGAGAGAGAGAGAGAGAGAGAGAGAGAGAGGGGCAGAGAGUAAGGUAAAGGGAUGAAGAAAGGCAGAGAGAGACGUCAAGGGGUGAAGAAAGGCAGAGAGAGACGUCAAGGGGUGAAGAAAGGCAGAGAGACGUCAAGGGGUGAAGAAAGGCAGAGAGAGACGUCAAGGGGUGAAGAAAGGCAGAGAGAGAGAGGUAAAGGGAUGAAGAAAGGCAGCGAGAGAGAGGUAAAGGGAUGAAGAAAGGCAGAGAGAAAAAGAAAGGAGGACUGAGAUAGUGGGAAAAAGGCUGUGUAUAGUAAAAAAUAAAGCCUGUUCGGGGUUGAGCGGGUUGUUAUGCAGGAGAGAUGAAGAAUGAGUUAAAGAGAAAUAAAAAGACUACAGUAAGAAUCUGUGUGUGUUCUGAUGCUCUUAUCCCAACAGCUUGAACUGUUUGCCCUUGAAUUGCUUUUGGGCAUACUAAAUUUGUAUUUUUAUACCUAAUCUGAUGUUCAGAAAGAAAAGAAAGGAACCUACCUUGUCUGUCAGUAUUGAUUUGUUUCCCCUGUUCCUUCUCUCUUGCCAAAAGCAUAGCUGCUUUCUCUUCAAACGGAAUGGAAUUAGUUUGUUUGAUUUCAAUGUAAAUGCACACAUCGCUUCAUCAUGUUGACGUGUCAAUCAGGGGCUGCUAUGCAAUAUGUGGGAGAGCAGUUUGUGUCACAACAGUGUCACUACCACAAAAAAAUACAACUUUGUUUUGGUAUUGACAGUUUCGGGUGUGACAAUUAAUACCUAUUUUCCAAUUUUCCAAAUAACUGUUGCUAAUACAUUCUAUGGUCGACACUAUUUGUGACAGCUGAUGACGACUGCCAUGUAUAAAUGGAAUUUGCUAUCCGCUUAUGUACACCGUCUUUAAAUACUUAUUUUGGCCCUUGACUCAUGUGCAGGUUCAAAUCAAAUCGAAUUGUAUUUGUCACAUACACAUGUUUAGCAGAUGUUAUUGCGGGUGUAGCGAAAUGCUUGUGUUUCUAGCUCCAACAGUGCAGUAAAAUCUAACAGUUCACAACAAUACACAUAAUGCACACAAACCUCAAAAUAAAGGAAUGGAAUGAAAGAAUAUAUAAAUAUUAGGAUGAGCAAUGUUCGAGUGGCAUAGACUAAAAUACAGUAGAAUAAAUACUGUAUUAACAUAUGAGAUGACUAAAGCACUAUGUAAACGUUAUUAAAGUGACUAGUGUUCCAAGUCUAUGUAUAUGGGGCAGCAGCCUCUAAGGUGCAGGGUUAAGUAACCGUGUGGAAGCUGCCUAGUGAUGGCAAUUUAACAGUCUGUUGGCCACUGUAUUGGCAGGAUAUAUUUUUGUUGUGUUUCUGUUCACACACACACACACACACCUAAAGCUCAUUACAGUUGCCCUCUGCUACUGUACCUGUCAAUCCAUCUUGGACCAUAACACUUAUGAUACUUCUGAACUGAUACUUUACAUUACUCUCAUUGAUGCUCUGUCUCCUCCUCUUCCUCCUCAUCCUCCUCCUAGAUAUAGGUCCUAGCAGCUAGCUAAUAUGGCUGACAACAUUUGUUGCCAGUGAGGUUUUUUCUCUCUCUCUCCUGACUGGCAACUACAGCUAAUGCCGGGCUUGCUAAGUAGAGAGGGAGGGCUGUGAAAGGACUGUCGGCGGUGGCAGUCGCCCGCAACACCAGCUGUGCCCUCUCCCACUGUGCACUGACGCUCAUUUGGGCCAGGUCAUCUAGGGACACACAGAGAGGGAGUGGGAGAGGGAGAGAGAGGGAGAGGGAGAGAGAGAGGGAGAGAGAGAGGGAGAGAG